UGAAAAAAAAACCCACAAAAAGUAAUGGCGUUAUUAGGGUUGGAUGAAAAGAAACAUUGAUUGAAACAUUUUAUCGCUAAAGUACAUGGAAUAAGACGGAGGCCCUUUUAUUUGAUUCUAUAGUUGAAAAAGGCAAUAUGGAGAAUAUGCUGGCAGUUUUGUUGCUAUAGCAAAAAUAACUACUCCAGCAGGGUUGUAUGCGGCUCUAAAAGCCCGGCAAUGGAAAAUGUGGCCUUCGGUAUUGUUCAAGGACAGUUUCUAGAGGAUGAAAUAAAGGACUCGUGGUAAUACUAUACAGACCACCAUUAAGAUGAAUGCCAAGACAGCAGUAACAUCGGUCAAAUAAAUAAAAUGUUGAGGAAUUCCAUAGGUGCUGUUUAACAUGUCAUUCUAAUGAUGUAACAAUUUUCAUGGAUCAUGGGAAAUGAAUAUUCUAUUCAGAAGGACAGUGCAGGUUGUUGUAAUGCUAAAAAAACUGCUUGUUGGAUUGUCAUCGUUGGACGCAUUUGAGACUGAACACUUAAUGUUUUCCAGUGAGAAAUGUUUCGGCACGGAAUUACGUACACUAAUAAUAUGGAGAAAAAAAGGAUGAAAAACGUUUUUCACAUGAUCUAUAAUUUCAGUGUUGCAUUAAUUAUUUCCGAAUUUGAAACAUUCAAGAAGUAACAUUGCAGACUUGAUGUUUAUACGCGGUUCUUUUUAUUCUCGUGCCACUUUACAUAUUCGAAGUUUAUAAAGGUCCAUUUGAUUUCAAUAUAAUGUUUGUGAUUGAAUUGUGUAUUAAACUUCAAAUAAACUUCAUAGUUGCA